UACAGAGGUCCCAAGCGUUGUUCGGAUUCACUGGGCGUAAAGGGUGCGUAGGUGGUUAGGUAAGUCUGAUGUGAAAUCUCUGGGCUCAACCCAGAAACUGCAUUGGAUACUAUCUAGCUUGAGGAGUGGAGGGGGGACUGGAAUACUUGGUGUAGCAGUGAAAUGCGUAGAUAUCAAGUGGAACACCAGUGGCGAAGGCGAGUCCCUGGACACUUCCUGACACUGAGGCACGAAAGCUAGGGGAGCAAACAGG
rnacentral:rRNA from 1 species